UGGGACUGUAGAAUUGUGUGAAGAAUGGAGCGUGGCGUACGGCACCUGUGAAGAAAAAUCAAUAAAAAAACGUUGAAAGAGAAUCCAGACAUCGUUUUGGGAUAGAGAGCAAACACAGGCAUAGCUGCAGAAUUAUAAUAAGGAAGUGAUGCGAACUUUUCUAUUUGGGAAGAAGAACAGAAACGGUAUUGCGAGCUCGAAAACGUUUGCUCCUACAGUGGUUAAGCGAAGAAACCAUGCUGGUAGAUGAUGAGCAUACCAAGCCAAGAGAGUAGGAAUGCAUUGUGACUCAAAAUGCACGUUCAAGGCUGGAAAACAACAAAAUAAAUCACGGUUAAUUUGUUUGGCGAACGCUUGUGGCACGAGAACACUUUUGAGGGUCUUAUCCUUUUGCUACGAUAUUAAAUAAUGAGAAAUAAAGUAUGAGCAGCAGCUGAAGCUGCAAGUCUAAUUUAUUGUGCUCAAUAUCACGUAUACGAUAGUUCAAGUGAAAAAAUCACAUACCCUCCAAACCCCACCACGUCGGACAGCCAGAAGUUAGCUUUACAACACCGCUGGAAAACAUCAAUCGAAAGAGUAGCCAACGAACGGCCCAAAAUGUCAAUGCCGUAGAUGGAGUGCUGGAUUUUCCUCGGCGGGGGUACCAGAAGGGUGCAACAAUAGUGCACAAGAAUCCAGCUUCGAGAAGAAGAACAUCCCUGUAAAUAAAAGUUAUUUCAGAGAAAAAAAAAAUUCAACAUUAUCAGAUGACAAAUCUUAAAAAUUGAAUAAAUAUGAUUGUUCUGUCA